AUUGAACGCUGGCAGCAGGCCUAACACAUGCAAGUCGAGCGGGGUGAUGGUGCUUGCACUAUCACUUAGCGGCGGACGGGUGAGUAAUGCUUAGGAAUCUGCCUAUUAGUGGGGGACAACAUCUCGAAAGGGAUGCUAAUACCGCAUACGUCCUACGGGAGAAAGCAGGGGAUCACUUGUGACCUUGCGCUAAUAGAUGAGCCUAAGUCGGAUUAGCUAGUUGGUGGGGUAAAGGCCUACCAAGGCGACGAUCUGUAGCGGGUCUGAGAGGAUGAUCGGCCACACUGGGACUGAGACACGGCCCAGACUCCUACGGGAGGCAGCAGUGGGGAAUAUUGGACAAUGGGGGGAACCCUGAUCCAGCCAUGCCGCGUGUGUGGAGAAGGCCUUAUGGUUGUAAAGCACUUUAAGCGAGGAGGAGGCUCUUUUGGUUAAUACCCAAGAUGAGUGGACGUUACUCGCAGAAUAAGCACCGGCUAACUCUGUGCCAGCCGCCGCAGUAA
rnacentral:rRNA from 1 species